GCAGCGGGAGCGCAGCGGGCUCCGGCAGCAGGCUGGCUGCUGCCCCCCGCGCUGCCGAGGGGCUGGGAGCAGGGGCAGCCCCUGAGGCCGCCGCUCGGGGCUUCUGCCCCCGUCCCGCAGCGGCAGGGCCUGGCCCCACGCCCCCCGGCCGGACCCCCGGGGUUCAUCCCCCUCGGCCGCUGCUGUGGUCGGGGAAAGGGGGAAGGAGGAGGGGGCACGGGUCCCCUCGGCACCCCCAGAGCGACCCUCCUGCCCGGGACAGCAACAACACGUUUUGUCCCUGGAGGCCUGCGAACACCGCCUCCGACCUCCAGAAAACCCCGCCGGAGACCUGCCCUCGUGCUGCAGCAACCCUUGGCUCAAGCCCUCGUCUCCGCUCAGAGCAGACCGCGGGGGGAACAGCCUGCGUCCCCCCAGAUUCCCCCGGGGCCAGGAGUUUUUGCCUUCUGUGUCACUGCAUCAUCCCUUGCGGAAAUGCAGGGCUGCCUCAGCCCUCUCCCGCCUCACGGGGCCCAGCUUCCACAGCUUACUUCUACUGAAAACACCUACACGGAACAGAAUGACUCCCUGCAAGUGAUUUUUAACACAGCUGGGGGUUCUUGAGGAAUAGAAGCAGAUGAAAAAAAAACAACUACACCUUAAGAAGAAGAUACUCUAGAAGGUCCUUUGUGCAGAUAAACAACCCCUUCAAAUUGUAAUACCCAGCUUGGAAAACAUACUGCUUUCGCAUACAAACCCUGCCCUGUGCAAAGCCAGACUCAUUGUCGAGGGAACUCCAGAGGUGGCUGUACCAUCAAUGAAAUUAAUCCGAACCUCCACUCCAGGGAGAAGACAAAGUUGUUAUUGCAGCUUAAUGUAUUUUGAGAGUUUAAAAACAAACAAAAAAAAUCCCCAACAAAUACUGCCACUAUGUUCUGUUGGAGCAAAACAAAACAGAGGCGUCUUGCCUGUUUCCAAGUCUGGGUGUUUCUCUGUUUUUUAUUACUAGGUUAAAUUUGACAGUUGCACUCAGUGAUCAUUAUGGAGUUAGCUUAAAGCUGUUUUGAAAUGUUACCAGCUUCAGAAGGACUUGAAUAUUUGUUUUUUUUUUUCUUUUAGACUUCAUGUGAGUAACUCUGGGCAUACACGUGUUCCCAGCAAAAUUUUGCUCUGAAAUCCUCAGAUAGAAAAAGGUCAAUUUUUAGGCUGUAAACAUUUUAAAAUUUACAUCCUAACAGCAAAAAUGAAGCCUUGUUUAUAUAUUAUUCCAAGAUGGAAAAAAAAUAAUUAUAAAAUGUGGUAUAUUUAAUUAUUUUAUUCACACUGUACAACUUGGAAUAAUAGCCUCAAAUCUAAUGUAUCAAAAUGAGGGACUGCAGAAAUUACAUUAGACAGGUAGUGAACUAGGCAAUUUAUAUUGCAGAAAGGAAUGACACAUAGGGAAUCAGGCCUACAAAGCAUUCUUUGUCAGAGUGACUGCCAUAUAGCUUGGGAAGCCAUGGUUUAGCAUUUUGCUGAAUGAGCUGAUAGCGAAGACUCACCCCUACUCCCCAUUUCCUGACCUCCACGUGGACAACCCAAGUCCUAGGAAGUGUGCACAAUGGAAUCUUGAGAAGCCUGCUGUCUGUCAUCCAGUCUCAGCCUCUGUAAGAAUCCUUUCUAGUUUAAAGUAACAUGUAGAGGUAUAUAUGUGCCAUUACUGCAAACACAAAUAAGGAAACAACUAAGCAGUAGAAAUAUUUUGGUCAAUAACUGCUAGUGCUGAAGCUUAGAAGUUUCAAAACUGGUUUUUGGUUUUGAUUUUUUCAUUCUGAUUUCUGGAAGCAAUUCCUCAUAAUAUGAGCUUCAUGAGCUUUCUUUAUACAUUGCCAUUUUACUAUCAGAAAUGCAAAAAAAGGGCAAAAUAUAAUAAAAACAACUAAAAUUGUGGCCUUUUUAACCAUUUCUUUAAAUUUUACACAUUUUUUUACUGGAUAUCCCCCCUGUAACUGUGUCGUUUCAGCCUUGUGGAAAUGCUGAAGGGGAUGUCACUACUGAUUAUUGUGGAAAUACAUAUUAAUGUGCUUAUUAACUGGUAGACACAGAUACCAGGAUUGCUAAUGUUAGGUGAUUAACUGAUGUCAAGGAUUGCUGGAGCAGAUAAUUAAAUACUGGAGUUGUCUCCCACUCACCUCCAAAUAAACCUAUGGACCAAAAACACAGAAAAAGAAGGUUAAACUUAUUCCUGCCCAUAAGAAGGGAAAACAUCUUAUUACUGAGGUGGGGAUGUUUGACAGUAAUAAACAAACUCAUCUGUUACAUUUAGUUCCCUUAAAGAGUUAUCCUAAAUGGUACAUAGGUUACUGCAAAGGAGCUGCAGAAUCUGGAAGAUUCUGAAAUUCAUACAGGCUGCAAGAUGCAAGUCAGGUGUUACUCAAACUCCUGGAGAGAUUUUUGAAGAAGGUAACUUUUUUUUGUCUCUGGGUACACUUUAAGAAGUGAUUUGCCACCGGUCAUUCUUGUGUGCUACCGUUCACAGGCAAGUAUUUGCAUUCCAACUUUGCCAUAACACUGGAACUGCCUGCAAGCAUAGCUGCAAGAAGGGAAUGCACUGCAGACAUUCCAGUAGUCAACUCACAACAGCAUGGGGAGCCAUAAUGAAAUCCAGGUUCCAAGCUGUAAACACCCAACCAACUAAAAGCCGUGUUUCUGGAGUUCAGAAAAAGCAAGUUUUGGAAUGCUUUUGAACCUCUGAGUCAAAGAUUGGGGAAAUAAAAAGCCGCUUGUUUGUCCUGACCAGAUUCAAUCAGUUCUCCCUGCUUGCUUUCCUUGUAGCAAACUCAAGUCACAGAUGCCAUAUGGUCAAAGAAAAAAGGGUUAGGAGGAUAUACUCAUGUGCUGAUGACACUAAACCCAAAAUUGCCCUUAAAAUCAUAAAGGCCUGUCACACAGAAAGUAAAGACAAGAAAACAGCCUGGGAAAUGUCAGAAAUUCUACAAAACAGAAAACAACUAUUCUUUCCAGCCUCUCAGAAAGACCAGCUUGCUACUUGAGAAACUGUGUAAAAUUUUAUUUAAAAAAUAGCACGACAGAAAAGAUUAAAGUAGACAAAACUGCCAUGAGAAACUACAAAGAUGGGAACAUGUAAAGAGCAGAGACUGCUAGAAGAUGCAGAAGAUGAAAUAGCACAUAUACUCAAGGGAGCAUAAAUCCAGAAAGCAUCUCAAGUGAAUUAAGAAGUUAGCAUUGUAUUUGAAAAAAUAACAGUUUAAAGAAGCCCCAAGAAGAACUUAACUAUGUUUUCUACAGGCUGCAAUAAAGAAAGAAGGGAAAAGAACUGGUUAAAAAAAAAACCAAAAAACCAACACGAAGCCCAAAAGAAAAAGAAAAGUUGGGGAUCUUAAAAAAUAUAUAUAUAUCAAUUUAUUAAUAUUAACCUCCAAUCCUGAGCUGCUUUAUAGUGUGGCAGAUGUUUGCAUUGCUGUCUUCAGAACAUUAAACGCUUCAUUAAUUUUCAGAACA